AAGCAACGAGGUUCCAAGUAUAUAGACAAAGAAGCAGAGGACGAGGGAUGCUAAUUGCCGUAAUAGUGCAUCCGCGGUAAAAUGGAGAAGUAGUGGUGGGUGCUUCUCUGUGGGGGAAGGUAGCACGGGCGCUUCGAUAAGCAAAGUCUGCAAAGAGAGAGAGCAAGAAGGGAAAACAGAGCAGAGAGGUGGGCACUUCGAUAGCACUGAUCAUUUCCGGGGAAAGUAUGGGAAACAAAAAGGGAACAGAGAAGGAAAGAGAUCAAACGCAGAUGUGAAGAUUGAGAUUUCGAAGGGCUAUAGGAUAAUUGUCAUUCCCCGAUCAGGCGCUCUGCUUUCGGCUCUCGCCACAGUCCUCUGUUUAUUGCGUGUGAUCUGCCACCGGCAAUCUGCUCCAUUGUUGGAAACUGACGCUGGUAUUGCCUCUUCCUCCUCCUCGCCUCCUCCCAGACAGCAUUGUCGCCUUCUCCGAACCCCAACGGAUGCCAAGUGCCACCCCCGACCUCAAACGCCAUUUGUGACAAUCGGCACGCCUUGCCUCCCGAGUCCUUCACCGGCCCACUUGUCCAACAUUGGCCCUUGACACCGCCGCCGCUGGUCCCCUCGCUAGCAACAUUACCACCAGGCGCUCUGUACCGAAUGCCCAACUGCCGCCCCGACCAAUAAACGCUGUGUCAUGGCUGUUGCUGCUUCAACAUGCAAGUAUUCACUGCACUGUGCUCUCGUACACCUCUUUGUACUUCUAAUACCAUGGGUAGAGGAGAGAGAAGGACCUCAUGCAUACAUAGCCGCAGUUGGUAUUCUCGACUACACCCGAACAACAGAAGAUGAGAGUCAUUGCUAAGAAAGAACACCAAACUGGGACCGGUUAAGUGAUGUUGGCAUAGGCUGCUUACCGCAAGAGCAGGUGCCGCUGCGUCACCCAUCAUUGCAGGAUGCUCCUCUUCUCAACCUCAACUGUUUAGCCUAAAAACAACUCUGGUACCAAAUCGCAUUGCAAGAAUUGUUGGAGCGUCGUAUAUUUUCAAUAGAGCAACAAAUGAACACCGAGCUGUGGGAGGGCACAUAGUUCAUGAUGUAUCUGAAGACAAUUGAAAUAAAAAAACAUGGGUCAGACUUAAUUUUGAUCACUGCUAACUAUGUACUGCAGUUUAAUAAAUAAGAUUGUUUACUUCCA